UACGUAGGGUGCGAGCGUUAAUCGGAAUUACUGGGCGUAAAGCGUGCGCAGGCGGUGAUGUAAGACAGGUGUGAAAUCCCCGGGCUUAACCUGGGAACUGCAUUUGUGACUGCAUCGCUGGAGUGCGGCAGAGGGGGAUGGAAUUCCGCGUGUAGCAGUGAAAUGCGUAGAUAUGCGGAGGAACACCGAUGGCGAAGGCAAUCCCCUGGGCCUGCACUGACGCUCAUGCACGGAAAGCGUGGGGAGCAAACAGG
rnacentral:rRNA from 1 species